AGAAUGUUGUUCUUCUUGAUUCUGUUAGUUCAGGGGUCAAGUCUGUUCACUUCUCAGUAUAUCAACAAGAAAAAAGGUUUGUUUAAAGUUGAAGAGACCUGGUUUACAAGACGCAUUUAUCCCUUAAACUCUUACAAAACUGCUCAGAUGUUGUUAUGGCGGAUUCCUCCUGAAACCCUUGAAGCAAGAUGGAUCCUGAACACCAACUCUUCAACCCUGGCUUGUCGCCACCAAAACGUUUCAGUGUAAGUUUAAAAACUGUGGAAUAGUAAGACGACAUUUAGUAAUCUUUUGUGUAUAAAGGCUUUUACGAGCAGCUAUUAGGUGAACAAUCGAUUUUUGCAUAAUGUUCUAUCUAUUCCGCCGUUUAAUUCAUUAAAAACCCGCUUUUUUUACACAAGUGGAAUUUACUUGCGCGCAACUGCGAGCCCUGUAACUCUGCGUAAUUCUUCGCAAUUUUGCAUAAUUCCGCGCAAAGAAAUUCCAAUUGGAAAUCCUACUUUUAAUCAAAGUUUUUUAUCACAAAUUCAACUUUUUUUCUUCCCCCUUACGUUUAAACAUUGGUUUUGGAUAGAUUCUGUAUGUCUGCUUGAAAUUCUGGUAUACAUAAAGCGAAAUGAUAGUGCUCACAAGCUCAUUAUGUCGAUUUAAAAGGCCAGAACGAUUUCAUAAUAAUGAUGACAUUUCUAAAAAGUUUGCAUAGUUUUAUUUUUGAAUUUCGUGGAUUUUAAACUUUUCUCAUUUAUUUAUCUUUCUGUCUCCUUGCCUCAGAUUUAAACAAAUCUUCUUUUAAGAAAUCUUUUUGUUGUUUUUGUUUAAUUUGAUGCGGGAUAGUACACAGGAAAUGCCUGGGAUAGUACACAGGAAAUGCCUGGGAUAGUACACAGGAAAUGCCUGGGAAAAGAAAAUUAGUUUUACAAGUUAUAAAUGAAAGUUAAUUAAGGCUCAAAACAAGUUUUGAAAGAGAAGACAAAAUUAUUUUUACAGAAGAGAGAGAAAAUAAGAUGUUUG